rnacentral:tRNA from 1 species
GAUUCCAUGGUAUAGUGGUGAGCACAUCUGCUUUACAUGCAGAAGGUCCUGAGUUCAUGCUCCAGUAGAGCCA